GUCAACAAGUAAAACGUUGGCAGUAGGUGUUAAAGGAGAGACGAGGACGCAUCAGCAGUCACGAAAAAUUUGUUUCUUUGCGCCCCAAGAGACAUCGGAUCUACACAACGAGACGUCUAAAAUGCAGCCUUUAGCGACCUCCAGCCCAUUGUCAUCAACGAUGCGGAAUUCACUUCUGUGCAGCCCCUCGUUUAAUGAAUCGACGUUGAGGUCACAAUCUUUUAACGAAUCGACGUUGAGUACGCCCCCAUUCGGUAAUUCGACGUGCAGACCGCACUCACAUUGCGUUCCCAGGAGGUUACCCAUCAAGGUCUUACCACGGACUUCAACCUGUGAUUCGACGUGGAGAUCGCCCUCGUUCAACGAUUCGACGUGGGGGCAGCACGCACAGUGCGUUCCCAGACGGCUACCGAUCACAGUACAGGCGGCACCACAUUCCUCGCUACUACAGAUGCAGAAUCCUUGCAACCAAUCCCGGGCAGUGGGAUGCUACGCUCCUCAGAGCUUUCAGUACCAGAUGACACAGCACACAGUUACGACGACGACUACAACGACAGAGUUCCGGAUGAUCUCUGGGGUCCAGUCAUCACAGAUAUGUCCACAUCAGUGGAUGUGACUUCUGCAGCAGUUAAAAAUUUCUACAGCAUUGGCAACACCACAGGCCCUGCAGCUCCACGUGUGGACAGCGCUCUGCAGUAUGGGGCUCGUAACCCUCUUGGGGUAGUCGAGCUGCCACUACUUGGACAUCAAUCAACGCCAAGGAACUAGAUGGAUUUCCCACCAGCUUCCUAGAACAUCUACCCAAUGUAGAGUAGUAGCAAAAUUAAAUAUUAAAUGAUUUCAUAUAGUUUCAUGAUUUUCUCGUAUUAGUAGUACAGAUGCAGGAAACGUCAGUGGAAAACGUUUAACAGCGAUUCAUUUAUAGUUUCGAUAAUUUGCCAGGAAAUAAGUAACUUUUAAAAUAAAUGAGACUGAUUCUGUAAUUUAUUUUCAUAUCUUACUUUCAUAUUGUGAUUUAAGCCUAAAACAAUUCAUUGCAGGCAAUGUUUUUAUUGUAACAUGAAUUUUUAGUCUAAUAAAGCUUCUUUGUACACUUUU